CCCCAAAUGAUUAGUGGGGUGUGGUAUGAGGCCAAUUGAUGCCAAAUACAUAGCGAACCAAUCUGGGACUUCCAAGAUUCCACCCAUUGUGUGCAUUUCGAGAAAAAGGUUGGAUCAACAAUCGAUGUCUAGCUACUCCCUUUGUCUGAAGCAAGAAAAUCACUCCCAACUCAGUUGUGGGGGGCAAUUGUUAUAGGGGCUGCCCAAUUAUUGGAUCCCUCCUCUCUCU
rnacentral:lncRNA from 1 species